AUACAAAAAUGUAAAGAUACGUUUAAAGUUCGAAAAGAAAGUGAACACAAGAGCGUUCAUGAGUUUCUACAAGACUGGAAAAUAUUAUCAGACCAAAGAAGUGACAUAUUCGUAUGUAAUCUGUUUUCAUAUGUUUUACGUUUCAUUUCUGAGCUAGGGUCCCUCCAUCUUGACGCAGACCAAUCAUUUUGACAACUAUGAUAUUUGUUUUCAGAUAAACAUUGACUUCGACUUGUUGUAUCCAGAAAAAGGGCUGAAUUUUUAUUUAAAUUGGAAAAUAUUUUUCGAAAAAAUUAUUGCUUUUAAACCGAACAGAGACGAAAGAAUCUUGAACCUUAUUGAGUCACUGAAAAAUUUAGACAAUGAUUUAACACUUCCUGCUGAGCUUAAAAUACUCGCACAUCUGGUGCCUCCAAAGGGAAGAAUUUCAAAAAAAAUUAAGUUCACUACUCAGGAAGCAAUUGACUCCUUAUAUAUUUGUGUGCCGAAUGCUGGCGAUAUAGACCAAGUAAUCAAAGAACAAAAACAAAAGGCGACAAGCAAGAAAUUGUCUGUUCAACCCUAUGUUAUACUCCAGGGAUUAGAUAUGUUAUACUCCAGGGAUAGUGUGAUUGUUUAAAUUAUUCAGAAGGGUUGUUGCAGUGCAAAUUUAUAUAAAAUAAGUAAGUUACGUAAACAAGCCCUAAGGUUUAUUGAAUUAUGGUUUGUCACACAUAUAUGCAUAUAUGUAGGGACAC